rnacentral:rRNA from 1 species
UACGUAGGGUGCGAGCGUUAAUCGGAAUUACUGGGCGUAAAGCGUGCGCAGGCGGUUCGUUAUGUCCGAUGUGAAAGCCCCGGGCUUAACCUGGGAAUGGCAUUGGAAACUGGCGGGCUUGAGUGCGGCAGAGGGGGGUGGAAUUCCGCGUGUAGCAGUGAAAUGCGUAGAGAUGCGGAGGAACACCGAUGGCGAAGGCAGCCCCCUGGGUCGACACUGACGCCUCAGGCACGAAAGCGUGGGGAGCAAACAGG